GAAAAACCCACGAAAAAAAUUCCACGACACGCACGCGCGAGCGAGUCGGCCCUCCAGAUCCCUUCGCCGCCAGCCCCCGACCUCCUCCCCGGCUCCCGGCGCCGGCCGCCCCCAUCUCCUCCCCCGAUCCUGGCUCGCCCCGCCCCCACCUUCUCCCUCAUUCCCGGCGCCGCCCGGCCCCCAUCUUCUCCCUCACUCCCGGCGCCGGCCCGCCUCCACCUCCUCCCUCACUCCCGGCGCCGCCCGACCCCCAACCUCCCUGGAUCCGCGUGCAUCGACGCCGGCUUCGCAGCGGCGCUUGAUGUGGAGUGCGGCGGAGUAGAGGAGCGGGCCUUCUUCCUCACCUCACAGCACUAUCCUCCUCCAUGACCACGCAGCCGCAGCGGCAGAGAACCCGAAUCCCUAGCCAGCAAACUCAGGCAGCCAUGGAUCCAUGGGGAGCAAUGUGCAGAUGCUGGCCACCGGAAUCUCUCGUCACUUCACAUCUUGCAUCGCGCAGACAGGGGGCAUCAGCCUGCAGCGAGAGGAUCGGCAACAUCCGCGCGGCCGCGGCGUCGUGCCGGCCCACUGCUCGCAAAGGACAGGAGCCCAUGCACGGCUGCACAUGCACAGAAGCAGGCAAACUGUUUGGCCCGCCCAGGUUUUUCUUUCAAGCUCUGCCACUGCCGAAGACCACGGUGGGAGAAGUUUUACAGGAGCCUCGUCACCAACAGCGUCUGCAACGUCUCGGAGGGGACAAGAAUAUCGCCUGACAUUUUUCUCAAUGGAUGGCUACUGACUAAAUUCAGAUAUAUGGAGUUCCGGAAUCAGUUCUGCAACUUUUUUUUUGCGGGAAUCAGUUCUGCAACUUGAGCAAGGAAAAAAACACCAACUCCCAUCGCAGGGUCGAACUGCCGGCGCGCUAGGGUUAGCGUCGGCGCCAUCCCGAGCCCCACCCGCCUAUCGGCCCCUCCCGGGACGGCUGCUAGUUCUGGCACUUUGCCACUGUGAUGCCCACUAGAUCUCGCGCUUUGCGAGCGCAUGCCGUUUGUUCCUCCGCAUCUGCCACUUCGGUGCAACCACUCCGUCAUCCAUAAAUAACGUGAAGGCAAGGCUCCAUUCAAGGGAGCGUGGCUAGCGACUAGACCGUCUAGGUGGACGCGAUCUUGAGCAGCGAAGAGCAGAUGCUCCGACAAGGCGAGCGUGGUUUCAGGCGACUUUUGCUUAGUUUGCUAACGAGAUUUCUGUCUCUUAAGGCGAGCGUGAGGCCACGACAAGAUGCUCUUGUUUAGUGGGACGCUAUGCAGGUUUUGGUGAAUGGUGCCGCUGCUGCAGCUCAUUGGUUCUAGCCCGACAUUCAGCUCUGAAUGGACGUGUGUCAGGGACAGGAUGAUCACAAUCCAGGUUUUGACACGGAGGUCAGGACCAAGCUUUAGGCAGAAAAGUGGGACAAUCUUCAGUAAGCUACAAUGUUCAUGUCUUCUUAUAUCAUUUGACUGAUGUGUUCUUGUAUCAUUCUUCUACUUUCGGAGCUAUUACUGCGAUCGUUUUGACCUCAUGUCUUCUUAUAUCAUUUGACCUUAUCUAGAUAUUAGUGGUUCUUAAUCCAGCAAGGUCUUGAAUAUUUUUCGCUUUGUCCA